UGGCAGUGUACUCUUAGUUAGCUGUUGUAUAUAUUACAGCAACUAAAUACACUUCCAUA
rnacentral:pre_miRNA from 1 species